rnacentral:lncRNA from 1 species
CUGUCAUAUAAAUUUUUCUAGAAUUCAAAAUCAUUUCAGCGGUUUAUGCACUUUCUUAAUAUGUAUGGUUUUGGGGAAACAAAUCCACAUAGUAUCCUGAGGUGGAAACCAAGUCACAAAAAAUAAUGAAGAAUAUUAGAUUUGACAUGAAAAUAUGUAUCAAUUUCUUCAAGUGUUUGGGUUUAGGGUAGAAUUUUCUACCAAAUUUUAACUUCUUGGGGAUGAAGUUUAAUUCAUCUUCAACUUUAGAACCGGAUGGUCUGCACUGUGUCAUUGGUCAACUUGGAGCCCAGCAGGGAUAACUUCUUUAAGUUAUGAGCAUUUAACUUGAUUCAAAGUAAAAAUCUAUUUAUUUCACAGGGAUAAAACAAAGUUUCAACUAUAGCAAAAGAGCACAGACCUCCUUAAGCAGAUGUAUUGAUGGCGAACCUUUUAGAGCUUUCAAUGGUACAAACAGCCCAGUGAGGCACGCACCAUAGGUUCCCUACCCCUGUGUAGACCAUAUCCACCAUGUAUUAUGAAGUCUAAGAAUGGGAACACAAAUUGCAAAAGGAAAGUUGAAAGGGAAUAAUGGUGAACUAUGCAGUGAGGGCGUAAAAAGUAGUAGAAGAAAUGUAAAGUCGAUUUAUUUAGAUAGGUGAUUUGGGAAGAGAAGAAAAAUGGUUUAGGGACAAUAUAAAACUUAUUAAUAGUAGUGUUAACAUGGCUUUAAAGGGAGAAAGUGAGGCUCAAAUACCAAGAGAUAGCAACAAGCAGAAUGUUGUGCAAUUAUAUAUGCUUCAUCAAGCUCAAAAGUUAAAAUGUCAUUGCUUCCUUUGAACUUGCCUGUCAUGGUUUAUCUAGUGAUGGAUUACACAAUAUUUUCUUCAUAACAGCAUAAGAAGUGUGGGGAGCCAUUUGUACUAGUUAUUUGGAAAGAUGAACAAUUCUGCUUACUCUAAAAUGAUGCUUUUAAUACUGAUAUUUUAAUUGUUGAAUUGUAAUUACAAGGUACAAAUGAUAUGUUUGUUUAAGAAAGUCUGAUGUUCAUAGGAAAAUAAGAAAAUGUGUAACAGUGGUAUACAAGAGUCAUGGCUUUACAUAUAUAUUUAAAUGCAAUUCAUGCAUCACUUCUUGUUUAAGGGAAAUAGUUGAAAUGCUUUUAAUGUUUAUAAACUUAUAGUUUAUAAGAUAUUCAUCUGAUCCCUUAAUAAACUGGACUUUGAGAUAAUGUUUCGUUGUAUUUGUCAACAGCUUUUUAUUUUUCAGCUUUGAGUCCAUGUUAGUAUGUAGUAUGGUCCGAAUGUUUUUAUCUCCCUAAAAUUCGUAUGUUGACAUCCUCACUUGUGCGGUGAUGAUAUGAGGAGAUGGUCAGGUUAUGGGAUCAGAGUCCUCAUGAAUAGCACCAGUGCCCUUAUGACAGAGGCAUGAGAGACAUUUGUCACAUCCCUUCUGCCAUGGGAAAUCAAUGUGAAGAGACAGCUAUCGAUGUGGAAGUGGGCUCAAUCUGCCAGGAUCUUGAUGGAUUCCCCAGUUUCCAGAGCAGUGAGAAAUAAAUCUCUGCUGUCUCUAAGCUACUUAAUUUAUGGUAUUUUUGUUAUGGAAGGCACUGGACUAGGAUAUUACUGGAAUUUAAAAUGAAUUCAAUUAGAUAAACAAGCAAUAAUGAAAGUUGAAUAGGAGUGAAAGCAAACUGCCACCAUUUGAUAGAAAGGAAAGAAAACCAAAAUGACAACCAGAUCAUGUAAAUUCUGGUCCUGCGUAACUCUCAUUCACCAUGUGAUCUUUAUUUCUCUGAACCCAAAUUGCUUUCUAUGCAAAUUAAAACAUACACAUUAGAAGAUUCUUGAGGCACACACUGGGUAGUUGUUUAGCUAAUAGAUUUCCUAUUUCUAUUUGAAACAAAGCCUCUUUUGUGUUUAGUGUUGUUCAUGUGACAGAAUUACAGCUUAUUCUGUCAAAUCUGGUAUGAAUGUUUUGUACCAUUUCCAGUGGCCCUAUCAGAAUUCCCACUGGUAAGUGUCCCUUUCUUUCUCUGUCUCCUGAGUAGAGAACACAUAAGGCCCUAGAUGAGGGCAGGGCCACAAGGCGGAAUAAUUCUGGGAACUUGAAUGACUGUGUGGAAGAGAGUUUUACUUGCUUAUCUGUAUUCGGCUAUAGUCUGAGUAAGAAACAAAUUUGUUUGUAUUUUACCAUGGAAGAUUUGACUGUAGAGCAAUUAGUUUUUCUCACUGAAACAUUAGACAGGUUUGCUUCUAGUUUGAAAUUCUGUGAUUUGUCAAAAAUCUUUAAGAGUGAGGUUAGAAAAAAAGGAAGAAGAGCCAAAAUUUGUGUCUUUGCCUCUUUAGUUAUUCUCUCUGUGGUAACUGGAGCCCUUUGAGUAAAGGGAGCAGGAGAACACAGUGGAAGUUAUGGGUCGUAACAUCCCUGGUGAGCUCACGAAAGAUACUGAAGCUUCUACCUUCAUCUCUGACACUUGCUCUGGGGGAAGCUGUUCACCAGUCAUGAGGACACUCAAGCCCCAGUGAGAGGCCACUCACUAGGAGCUGUCAGAAGCAACUUGCUAGUCAGGGUAGCCAUGUGAAUGAGUGGAUUCCACCACCUCAUCAAUCCUCACAUAAACGCAGUCCCCCUCAGUGCUUGAGUAGAACUUCACAAGAUCCCCUCACUGCUUCAGAAUUCAUCCCCACAGAAACGGUGAGACAAAAUGCAUGCUCAUUGUUGUUCAAGCUACAAAGUUUUGAAGUGAUUUACAAAAUAGCAGUAGAUAGCUGAUGUACAAGUCAUGACGGGAGACAUUUUUACUAAAUAUUUCCACAGUAUAGCCUGGAGCUUUAUUGUCUCGUAACCUUUGAUUUUCAUUUUUUCACCUCAUCAUUUGACUGUUAAACAGAGUCACAGAUUUUAUGGUUUUGUUAUAACCACACCUAACCUCAGUAUACCAAUUUUUGUACAUAGAUAGGAUAAUGCUAGAUUGUAUGACAGGAUACAUUUUGAGAGCUUAGUGGAUUAAUACAAUAAACUUUGUUUUUUAAUGUAAAAAAUGGUGUUAAGAAAUGUAAAAAGAUAUCAAAAGUCAAAGCCCUUCUAAAUGUAGGUAACCUUUUACAAUAGUCAAAGUGAACAUCCAGAGAUAGUUAAAAAUUUGAAUAUAAUGUUUAUUUUUUGGUACCGGGGAUCGAACUUGGGACCUUGUACUUUCAAAGUAGGUGGCAGCACCACUGAGCUAAAUCCCCAGCCCUAUAAUGUUUAUUUUUAAGUCAGUUUUUCUAUGUAUAAUUCCAAUAUGUUUGCUCUUUAGCUUUCAUGGUUUUGGGCUGGGGAUUUAGCUCAGUGGUUCUGGCGCCUGCCUCCCAAGCACAAGGUCCCGAGUUCAAUCCCCGGCACAAAAAAAAAACAACUUUCAUGGUUUAGUUAAAUGACAUGCAGUCCUCAAACAAUAUGUUCAAAUUUCAGUUCUCAUGGUAUACCAACUGUGCAUCAAGUACCAACUUCUCUGUUGCUACCUCUUCAACGCACAAAUCACUACAUAAACAGCAUAUUGACAUUAUGAGCAGUAAACAGGCAUAUCACUUCCUUCAAACUCUGGUGGUGAUUGGUUACUGUGAAUGCUAUUUAAUUCAUGGAAAGUGUGAAGUCAUAGGUUUUAUAAUCUUUCAUCAUCGACAAACUUAUGGUGAAAUUUUAUGAACACUGAUUCUUGAAAGAGAGGAUUGGCUAGUCAAAUGAAAGACCAGCAAAGAAAGAAAAAGCUGAAUGUAAAUGUGGUUGCAGAAGGAACUGCUGACAGCUGGAUCACUGAAGCUCAUGCCAUUGGGAAGAUUGUAGAGGUGUGUGAAGGAACUGAAAAAGGGGACUUAUUAACAUGCAUAAAGAAAGUAGCUUGAUGCGAAAGAAGAUGUCCCAGACGAAGUGAUACUGGCAUAAAACUUGAUGUUAAAAGAACAGUUGGCAACAUGUCAUGACAUUAGAAGUACAAAGAUAAAUUUGUGGAAGCUAAUCCAAUCAUGAAGAAUGUGACAAAGCACAGAAUUGGUGUCUAGACUGUACUCUGUUAUGUCUGGAAAUAGAAGCCAGGCACUAAUCACACCAGCUUUCAUAAGAAUGCCUUACAUAGGACUGAAAGAGAAACCCAUUAAUUUGUAUGAUUAAUAAAUAUUAAUUAAAACACAGCACUUAAUUCUCAGUAUUUCUAAGCAACUUAGAGUGAGUCAAAUAUCAGUUUUACCUUUUAAAAAGUUCUCUAUUUAUAACUGAUACAAGAGAGUUUUAAAUAUUUUGACAAAAAAUUGUGAACAAAGAGCAAUCAUAAUUUUUCUAAAUAAUUUUUAGGAUCAAUUUCAGCUUACAUAGUCAUUUUUUUAUGGCUUGCACUACUGUACAAAGCAAGAACUUCCUGUACUUACAUAUGAAAUGCUAUUUUACUCAUCAUUAGCAUGGGAUAUAAAGAUUCCAUUUUUCAACAACUGGAAGUGUCCUCCUUCAUUGCCCCAGUGUCUACAUCUUGCCCAGAGAUAGCAGAUAGAAACUCCAUCAUGCAGUUUCCUGCCCACGUACUGAGUUAAUUCUAGCCUUGGGCGUUGAUGGAAGUGAGGUACAGUCGGAAAAGACAUCAGCUGAGCAGAGGUUUUCAUUGGUCUUCUGUUGGCACCAUGCUCUCUGAUGAUUGGUGUUGGCUCCUGACUCCCAAGGCCUGCUCACUUUUGAUCUGAUUCUUUUCAUCAGUCUCAUCAUUCAGCUUAGGAUCCUGAGUCCUGAUUUACUGUGGGAAGAUUUGUCUUUUCAGGUUUUAAUUUUGCUUUGAAGCGUGAUUUUGGGAAGGUCAUCAUCUCCAUCAUAAUUAUUUACUUCUAUGAGAAAGGACAGUUCUAACCCUAUUUUUUUUUUCAUUAAGUUUACCGGUACAUUUUAGGUAUACAAUACAGUUACAUUCAUCACUGGGAACUUGUACCUGUACAUGAUGUAUCUUGGUUCUUAUUUUUUCUCCAUUCCCUGCCGUCCCUUCACCCCCGCUUCCCCAUUUACAAAGACUUUGUUUUCAUUUUUUUUCUUUUCUCAUAUUAAUUUUUAACUGAAGUUUUACUUUUAAAGUAGUUUUAGCUUCAUAGAAAGCUCAGAGGACAUUGAGCAGAAUGGGAAUUAAAACAUGGCACCUCAGUAUAUCACCUUCAACUUGCAGAAAACAAAAGAAAAAGAGAAAAUAUUUUGAUUUACAACAGUUUUAUUUUUGUACAAUUUAUUGAAGCAUUUAAGUGAAAAUUAACAGAUCUGAGAUUUGAGUUCUGCAGCCUUAAAUUCUUUGGCUAGAUGGUAGGGUGAUGCUGGCUAUAAUUGAAAUAAAGUCUAAAGAUCUAGGUUUACUUCUGUGUACAAAAUAUAAUAAGAAAGCUGUUAUUAAAGGCCACGGGGAAUAAUUUGUUUUGAAGAAAAUGCCUCAACAAAAAAGUAUUUGGCAGUUAUUUAGAUUGGUAUUAUUUUGCCAUCAGUCUCCUUAGGACAAACAGCUUGAAGCUGGAAGGCAUAGUGGGGCAGAGAGGGCUACCUCUCUGAGGAGGAGAGAAAGACUGGGGCAGAAAUGGCAGCUCCACCUGUUCCUCAAGAGAAUGAAUAAUGGAGAAUAUAGAUCGAAGUAUAACAAAAAAGGGACCAAUCUUAAGUCCUUAAACAGAGAAAAUCUCCAGAGCAUCCAGAGGUAGAAAACUUACAGAGGUACAAGAAUAGAAAUUACAAUAGACUUCCCAUCAGGUACCACGCAAGCAACAGCAGUGUAGUGAAAAAUUUAAUGUGUUGAAAGAGAAAAACUCUAUCAACCUAGAAUUCUAUAUGUAGUGAUAUUGAAACAGAAAUAAGGAUUUUCUCAGCAAAAGCUCAAAUAGUUUAUUAUUGGUGGAACUGCCUUGCAAGAAAUGUUAGAAGGAAUUCUUCAAGGAGAAAGUAAAUGAUAUAGGUCAGAAUCUCAGAUCCAUAUAAAGGCAGACUAGCAAAAAAGGAGUAUUUUAAAAUAAAAUAGUAUAUAUCAUUCUAAUAUUCUGAGUCAAUCUUAAAGAUAACUAUUUAAAGUGAUAAUAAAAAAAGACAAAAACUGAAGUGAUAAUAGUUAUUUUGGAUGCUUUUAUUAUAUGUAUAAGUGAAAUGACAGCAAUUUCAUACAUAUCAGGAGAAGGAAUUGGAAAUUAACUCUUAUAAAUACCUGUACUCCAUAUGAGACAGUCUGGUAUUAAAUAUAAGUGAACUUAGAUUAUUUGUAAUGUAUCUUUCUUUAGGGUAACUAUUAAUUUUUAUAUGUUAAAUGGAAUAAGCCAAGCACAGAAAGGCCAAUACUUCAUGUUCUCACUUAUCCGUGGCAGCCAAAAAAGUUGAUUUUAUUUAAGUGACCACCAGGGGUUAGGAAGAGUAGGGAAUGAGGAAUGGAGGGAGGUGGGGAAAUGGAUACCAACAUGCAGCUGUGGAGGAGGCAUAUGUUCCAGCGUCUUACGGCACAGUAGACUUAACUAUAGUUUACAACACUGUAUUAUGUAUUUUAUAAAGCAC